GCCUUUUUGAUUAUGAUGUCAGAGUUGUUUAAGAUCCCAUGAAGCAUAUUAAUUCAGAUAACGUAAAGCUUCAAAGCAGUGACAGCUGAAUGAUGGGAGUUUUGUCCAUUAGAAGACUGCAGUGGCAAUGAAGAAAGGAGUUAGAAAAAAAGAGCUUCUCUCAGAUUUAAGGUGGCUUUUACUAAAAGAAGAAUGAUGUCUGUGUCUUUCAUCCAGUGUUGAUGUGUGGGAGGAUGAUUUUUUUUCUGCAAUAUACACAAUACAUUGCUAAGUUAAUUGAGAGACGUACCUUUUCAAUGCUAUUUAUUGCAACUGGUCAAUAUAUGUAUGUUACAGAAACUAUGUUCUAGUGGUAUCUGAAGACCAGCACUGGAAAUAGUAGUGCUAACUACUGUGACUAUACAAUAAAUUACCUUGGUAUCUACUGGUCAUGAAAAAUAGCAAUUGUGUAUAUGUAAGAUAUAGUCUAUAACUAGUACUAAAACAAACUUAAAAGUUAAUUAGGCAAGUGUAAAUUAAACACACAUCCUACAUUUCCUGCUUGCAAUUAAUGUUUAAUGCAAUUUAA